UACGUAGGGGGCAAGCGUUGUCCGGAAUCAUUGGGCGUAAAGAGCGUGUAGGCGGCCCGGUAAGUCCGCUGUGAAAGUCCAGGGCUUAACCUUGGGAUGCCGGUGGAUACUGUCGGGCUCGAGUCCGGAAGAGGCGAGUGGAAUUCCUGGUGUAGCGGUGGAAUGCGCAGAUAUCAGGAGGAACACCAAUAGCGAAGGCAGCUCGCUGGGACGGUACUGACACUGAGGCGCGAAAGCGUGGGGAGCGAACAGG
rnacentral:rRNA from 1 species